rnacentral:misc_RNA from 1 species
CAAGCCCGGGUCGAGCAAUGAGACGCCGUCAGAGCGGCGUCGCGACGCGAGCGUUCGCCUCCGUCGGCGGCACACUAGGUAGACAAUACUAGCUCUUACUCAUUGAAAGACAGACAAGUCCGAGCGUGUGAUCAAUUCGGUCACUGGCCGCGAGCCAAACAGGAUCAACCGAUUGACUAGUGACUUUAACGAUUGGCCAGGUCUCGUGUUUUAUUUGUCGCGAUGAUUAAAAAAAAUUGAUAAUAUCGACAGCAAUUGAAAAAAAAAAAUUUUUUUUUUAAUUUUACGACCAAAUUUUAUCCCGCCGAAGGGAAGAAAAUUUCGCGCCAUUUCACACGUGCAAAGCCAAGCCAGAAGACUUUUAUAAUAAUUAAGUCUAUUUACCGGUAAAAUAUAAUUCAUCCUAUCAGAGGUUGGAUAACAUUCAUCAUUGAGAGUUACAGGUGCGCGUGACAGCUCAGAGGGGAUUGAAAAAAGAUAUCGGGAAGAAAUAGGGAAACUUGGAGUUUAAUCUCGUGAUGCGGUGAUGGCUCUGUUGUACAGAUUCGCGCAGCUACCAGAUCGCGGUGGCACGCGGGUCUUCUCUUUUGUAGUAACACGAAGCGUUGUACGAGAUCCCGAGAGAGAUGUCACCAGCAAGGAGCUUGUUUGCGGAUUUCAAAAAUGGGCUGUAGCGUUUUCAAGAGGGGACAAGGUAUUAGGAGUAUACCUAGUAUGGCGAGGAGCAGCUCCAGGUCUGCGAGUCUACGUGGACUUUACAUUCACCCUUCUAAACCGCGAGCAUUUUUCGGUAAACGAAGGAUUCUCUGGAAAGCGAGUAAAGUUUACCUACGAUGCACCAGCUCAAGGGAAUCGCAAUUACAUACCCGUAUCGGAUUUAUACAGCAGAAACUUUGCGGACACCAACGGGGAGUUUCAAUUGGAGCUCUCGAUGGCAAACGUCAGAACGGUCUUUUCAGCAGAGGUUCGACUACCCACAGGAAUGUUUACAACCGGGCAAGCAAAGCCCAACAAACUGGAGACAACUUACUUCACAUUCGGCGGAUUCGACUGGAAUCUGGCGGUUUAUCCCCAAGGCAACAAAGAAGACGAGCCGCGCUCAGAGGGUAAGUUGAGCGUCUACCUAAUCCGUCUGACGGGUUUCGACCACCCUUGUCGAGUGAGAUACAGCAUGGUACUGGGCGAAGGAGAGCGAAGAAUCGAGUCAGGUCAAAUCGACGACCUGUCAGACGCAGAGGGCCGAGGUUACGGUUGGCACACCCGUGUCCGUUGGUCAGACAUCGCUCACAAAGGUAUGUUGCGUGUGUCUUUGGAGAUGAUUGAAGCACGGACAUUUUCUGAGGUCGCGGUCCAGGCUCUAGGGCCAACAAUGCUUCCAGCAGCGCCUUGCUACGACCGCGACAAGCAGGCCUGGGCAGUGCGCGCAGACUUGCACUCUGACACUGUCAGGUUCCAUUUAGUCUACAAAGACAUCCACAACGUUCCGAGGAACCAUUUGAGGUACAUCUGCUGGUCCGCGUACUUGAUACGAGGGGACGAUCCGGACGCGGAGACGAUUCUCCUGCCAGGAGCCCCAUUUAGCCGGUACUAUUCUCAGGAGGCUGCUGACGAGGGUAUAAUUAUGGAAACGAGGCUCGGCGUUAAUGAAGUUAACGACGACCACUGUCCUUUUCUCACAAACAAGGGUCAGCUGAAGGUCAGGCUCGAGUGGAAUGAAAGCCAUUUGCUCUUCCAGGCCACUUACCACAAGUAUGACGACGUUUGUCGGGUCCAUAACCAGCAGAUGCGACGCGAAAUAGCCGCUCUACAAGCCGAGAACUACAGCUUGGAGCGACAACUAUUUAGCUACCAGAAAAGUCUUGCGUACGCUCAAGCCCAGCAGCAGGAAGAGGUCCAAGGGAGGCCACCACCCACCACCCAGCACUCAACCCAUGCCGGUGCUUUGGAAAGGUCCGCCUCAACUGACACCGAAUACGCCUGACAAGUCGAUCGAUCCCCGGCAAGACGCGGCCACCAGCUGCCUAUCAUCCAGGAAAACGACCAGAGGUUGCACCAGAAUCUUGUUAAUUUGAUGGACCGGCGGCUCAGCAAUGUUCAGAUCCAACAACAGAUGCGUCGGGAGUCCUACUAUCGUGACUCUUCUCCUCUGGUUCAGAUUGACCCCAGGCAAGGACGGGGAGUUGUCAAACAACAGCCAAGGUCUAGAUCCACUGCUGAUCCUGUUAAUAAUAACUGGGAUACUCACGAAACUUUCCAGGAUUUACGGAUUCAUACUGGCGUGGUCAGGCUGCUAAUCAAAAGAGACGUAGACCAACUCUCUGGGAAACUCUUGCCGGACUAGUGUGCUCUCUCGGGGCUCUAGCCUCUAGGGCUGCUAAAAUGGCUGCACGUAGGAGUGACAUGCUUUGAGAAUUGAAUGGACAAGUUGAUUUUCGUCAAUCGGAAUGCAAACAAAACAUAAAUUUAUUUUAUCUUUCUAAUGAAAUUGGAACAAAUCAACCAAAAUAAUAGUAAUUAUUUAUUAUGAUUAUUAUUAUAGUAAAUUAAGGUAGCAACAUUUCGAUUACACUUCUAUCUACUUGUAAGUUUCAGUCAGCAGGAUAAAAGUUAUUUUAUUUUAUUUAUUUUUCUUCUGAUUAUAUAUGAAAUAUAAAUAUAUAAACAAUAAAAGACUUUUUCACUCAUCUAUGUAUAAACGGUCGCUUAAAUAUAUCUAAUGAUCGAUCAACAAUUAUUAUUAGAGUUCAUUACUGUAUUUACUAUAGAUGUGUAAUGAGUACCAAUCGUAAUAAUAUAAUAAUAAUAAUAAUAAUAUAAAUUUUAAUGAUAAUUAUAAUGAUUAAUAAUUAAGAACUUGAAAAAGGAAUUUAUAGCGAAAGUUAUAGAUUGGAUAGAAAUGUUACAUAAUAAAAUGAAACAAUAAAAAGGGUUAAAUUGGAUCAGGGAUUUUGAGAAUAUAAUUUGGUUUUUCGAAAUUUAAAGUAUCAAUUAUUCAGAAUGAAAUAAAAGGUAAUAUCUUCGGUAGCAGUAGAUCAAUCAGACAGACAUUCAUCACAGUAUGACGUUGUAAUUUAGUGAAAGUUUUUUGACAACUGUGAAUUGACGAUUUACGGAAACAACUAUUCGAUAAAUUGUUCUUUCCGUGUUAAAUUCUCUCUGUACACAACAAAUUUAUCCAAUCGAAUCGGUGAUCUAUUUUUUAUCACCAAUUAACAAUUCACUCUUCCAUUACAUACGUGACGGAAAUUAACCGGAAAUUUCAUCGCAUCCUUUUUUUUUUAUUUCUUUCUUGUAAUCCAUUUACGGGGGAAUUUAAAUUCAAUAAAAAAGUUUCAUUAGUUGACGGUAAAUUUAUUUAAUACGAGUACUUUGAGCACCAAUUAUAAUAUAUAAAUAUAUAUUUAAAUGAAACAUUUAUUUAUCAAUCACUAAAAUAUUAAGCAGCGAGUAAUUUGAAAGAACUAAAAUGUUAUAUGAUCGCAAACAAGCAACGUCACAAGUGAAAAAUAUCCAAAAACUUUGUCGAGACGCAUAGCGUUUUAGUUAAUAGCAGAGAGUCUGUAUACUUUGUACAUAUCUACUAAUAAAUAAUCUAGCGCGAUAUCGUGUCUUUGUGAUCACGUAGACUCGCGCAUAUGUGACGCCAAGAGCUUGAAAUUAAUUAUUAAUCCAAUUGAUACGUUCCAACCUCAAGGAUCUACCGUUUGUUAUCGGCAAACACUUGGCGCAAGCUCUUCUACGUGAACACGAAAAAUCGUUAUGCGUUAACAACAAAAAUACAAAUCUGUACCUACAAUUAUCAAUUAAUAAUUAUAUAUUAAUAUACAUAUACAUAUUAUAGACUACAAUAUACUAUAUUAUAUUAAAUUAUAAUUGAUGAAUAUAUAUAUCAAGUCAUAGUGAAUAUUAAUUAAAUUUUAAAUAAAAGUAACAUCAAGCGUGUAUGCACAAUUUGCGCACUUCUUGCUUUAAACAAUUUGAAUGUUGUUUACAUGUUGUAAACUAAUCUCUCAUAUGUCGAUAUUUACAAAGCUUAUAUCCACACUGACUUUACAAUAAACGUACAAAAAAUAAUUUGAACAAACAAUAAAGCUAACAAGUAUCGUAAAUUUUUUUAUCUCUCAUUGGUAUUAAUUAAAACUAAAAAUCUUUUUUACGAUAUUACAUCAUUAAUGCAAUAGCAAACAAAACUUGUAGUUGGUAAUUGAUAGUUAAUAAUUAAUUAAUGCACGAAAAUUAAUUACAUUUUUACUAUUUUUACAAUAACAUGCAUUUUAAUAUUAUUGAACCAGAAGAUAAUGUGUAUUUUUUUUUUUAAUUUAUUUUAUUUGCUCAGUAUUACUUGAAAUUAUUCGCAGUCACGAUUCUACUAUAUCUAAAAAAGAAUAAAAAAAAAUAAAAAAUUGAGUCGGUCAACAAUUUCUUUGAAUUAAGACAAUCGCACACAUUAUUUUAUUUUCUCCCUUUCUAAUAAUGCAAAGAGCACUGUGUCUAUUUUAAUGACGAGAAUGGCACAUAAUAAUAAUUAUAAUAAUAGUCAUAAAAUAAUAUAUAUAUGAGCCCGGGUCUUCAUAUAUAUCUUGUAGCAGUACAAAGCUUCGAUACAAUAUAAAAAAAAUUUAUAAUCCAAUCACUUUGAAUACUCUUGUAUAAUUAUUAUAAUGGUAUAUAAUAUAUGUGUAUAAUAUUGUCGUUAGGAAAUAACUGAGCCAAUGCGCUUAGCUACUAAUUAUAUACAUAUAUACACAAUAUAAAAUAUAUACACAUGUAUAUAUAGAUAUAUGUAUCUGUAUGCAUAAAACAAAUUUAUUCUAUGACGAGGACUUGUGCUCAUUACCCAGUGAGCUUUCCAAGUUUCCAGCCUUCACUUCAAUAUGAAAACUGAUUAAGUAUGAAGGAUACUAUAUAACGAUAAUCGUAUAUAUAUAAAACACUCUCUCACUCUCUUCCUCUCUUACGUAAUUUGUUUUUGAUUAUUAUCAUCAUUAAUACUUUGAAGUUCAUUAUCUAUUGUGACUUUUUAUUUAUUUUCUCUUCACUAAAGAGACAAAUUUAAAUAACUUAGUAUUUACUACGGUAAAUACAUACUUAAUAACAAUGCAUUAUUACUUUAACUUCCAACUUCUAAACUUUAUUAUUAUUAUUAUCAUUAUUUUUUUUAAUUUUUUUGAAUUUACAAAAAAAUUCAAAAAAUUUCUAAACUGCGGAUGACAGUUCUAAACUUUCCCAGGGUUUUUACGACAUUUAUUAAAAUUCUUCGAACUGUCCAAACAUUUUCUAAAUUUUCAGAAUUGUUUUGGACAGUUUUAAACUUUAUUGAAUAUAGUUACAAACUUUAGCUUGCUAAUUGUAAGCAAAAUAUUAUUACAGUAUUAUAUUAAUUAUAAGUUAUAAGUUAUAAUUUAUAACAUUACAAUAUGUCACUAAAACAAAGACUUAUUUAAUAAUUUAAUAACUUUAUAAUUGACACAGAACUUUUUUUUACAAAAUUCAAAUUGCAAAGAGAAAACGAGUGAGAGAGAAAAGCAUUUUUUUUUUUCAUCGUUAUUUAUUUUUUAGUUUCAAAUUGUAUUCAACUUGAAUUAUCGAUCCAAGAGAAUUGAAUGCUCGCAUUUAUUUAUUCAUGCUUUUUACGUCCGAUUAUCAAUACAUAUUUACUCUUGCUCUGCGUGGCAAAAUGAAUACAUAGAAAUAAAAUAACAAUAAAAAUAAAGGUAAAAUGAAAA